rnacentral:rRNA from 1 species
UGCUCUUCAAAUCGAGUGGCGAACGGGUGAGUAACGCGUGAGGAACCUGCCUCAAAGAGGGGGACAACAGUUGGAAACGACUGCUAAUACCGCAUAAGCCCACGGCUCGGCAUCGAGCAGAGGGAAAAGGAGCAAUCCGCUUUGAGAUGGCCUCGCGUCCGAUUAGCUAGUUGGUGAGGUAACGGCCCACCAAGGCGACGAUCGGUAGCCGGACUGAGAGGUUGAACGGCCACAUUGGGACUGAGACACGGCCCAGACUCCUACGGGAGGCAGCAGUGGGGAAUAUUGCACAAUGGGGGAAACCCUGAUGCAGCGACGCCGCGUGGAGGAAGAAGGUCUUCGGAUUGUAAACUCCUGUUGUUGAGGAAGAUAAUGACGGUACUCAACAAGGAAGUGACGGCUAACUACGUGCCAGCAGCCGCGGUAAAACGUAGGUCACAAGCGUUGUCCGGAAUUACUGGGUGUAAAGGGAGCGCAGGCGGGAGAACAAGUUGGAAGUGAAAUCCAUGGGCUCAACCCAUGAACUGCUUUCAAAACUGUUUUUCUUGAGUAGUGCAGAGGUAGGCGGAAUUCCCGGUGUAGCGGUGGAAUGCGUAGAUAUCGGGAGGAACACCAGUGGCGAAGGCGGCCUACUGGGCACCAACUGACGCUGAGGCUCGAAAGUGUGGGUGGCGAACAGGAUUAGAUACCCUGGUAGUCCACACCGUAAACGAUGAUUACUAGGUGUUGGAGGAUUGACCCCUUCAGUGCCGCAGUUAACAAAGUAAGUAAUCCACCUGGGGAGUACGACCGCAAGGUC